UACGGGGGGGGCAAGCGUUGUUCGGAAUUACUGGGCGUAAAGGGCGCAUAGGCGGCCUGCUAAGUCGGAUGUGAAAUCCCUCGGCUCAACCGAGGAACUGCAUCCGAUACUGGCGGGCUUGAAUCCGGGAGAGGGAUGUGGAAUUCCAGGUGUAGCGGUGAAAUGCGUAGAUAUCUGGAGGAACACCGGUGGCGAAGGCGGCAUCCUGGACCGGUAUUGACGCUGAGGCGCGAAAGCUAGGGGAGCAAACGGG
rnacentral:rRNA from 1 species